rnacentral:tRNA from 1 species
UCCCUGGUGGUCCAGUGGUUAAGACUCUGCCUCGCAAGGCAGAGGAUGUGGGUUUGAUCCCUGGUCAGGGAA